rnacentral:lncRNA from 1 species
GGUUAAGAAACACCAGAAAAGAUGGCUAAUAAAGAAAUGACUCUAGUUCCACAACAUGGAAUUGAGAGCUCUCUGAAGAUGACAAGAUGCCUGUGUUUGAUCUUUAUUGCCUUUGGGUUGCUGGGAGCUUCCAGGUCCACACACCCCCACUCAGGCCAAACCUCAUGGCUGUCGUGGGUUAAAGCUAAGACAAGCCGGGUCAAGACAACAUAACAGCAUCAGCUUCAGUGAAGACAUGAUGAUGGCCACUGGGUGGCUUCACUCCCAAAGCUUUCAGACUGCAGCUCAAAACCUGUGUCUGAGGCCACAAAUGAAAAGCAAACAAGAGCAACAAUGAAUACUUGGUGUGCAAGCAAAUAGGGCAUAUGUUAGUUAAAUGACUAAAUGACCCAAGUCAUGAGUUUGCCCACAGAAAUGUGAGAAAACUGAAAAUUGAGCCGAGGAGGAAGCAAACUCAGGACGCAGCAGGCUCAUGCAACCUCGUCUCACACAGGUGGAAAAUAGAGGGGCACAAACGACACAACUGUUGACAGUACAGCUCAGUUGCACAAGAGACCAUAGCAUGUUGGAGAUCCCCGUACCAUAAGACUACCACCAAGAACAGCAGCUGAGGUGAAGUGGAGCCUGCUAGAUGAGCCUGCUUGAAGAUGAGCUGGAUGUGCCGUAGAGGGUGGAGUUGGAGAAAUGACCCAGGACCUUUGGAGGAGCCCAGCAGACAAUGAGUGAAUCCCAGAUAUUGGGCAUGGAAUUAUUUACACUGUUGGAGUUUGGUUUUGCUUUGCUCUGAUUGUGACUGUGCCCUGGUUCUUCCCUCUUGAAGUAAGGAAGUGUUCAACUUGUGUUUGAUUUCACAAGAGCCCACAGUUGAGAGACUGAAUUUUAUAGGUUUUAAAUUUUAAAAGACUUUAGACUUUUAAGGAUAAUUGCUUUUUAAAGUGUUUGAAUUUGUAAAGACUGUGGGUUUUGGGUUUAUAAAAUGUUUUAUGUUGUGGUGUCGAUGUUAAUGUGUGAUCUUGAGGAUAAAUAAGAAACGAAAGGUUGUAGUAUAACAGUGAUGUUUGCAUGUCUGGUUGACAAGGGGUCAGUUGUGCUUAAUGGUUUUAUGUCAGCUUUACACAGGAGAGAGUAAUCUGACAGAAGGGAACCUUAAUUAAGAAAAUGCCUCUGUAAGAUUAGGCUGUAGGUAAACCUGUUGGGCAUUUUCUUAGUGAUACGGGAGAGGCUAGCCCAUUGUGCAUGGUGCCGUUCCUGGGCUGGUGGUCCUGGAUUCUAAAGGAAAGCAGGCUGAGCAUGCCACAAGGAGCAAGCCAGCAAGCAGAACCCCUCCAUGGCCUCUGCAUCAGCCCCUGCCUCAAGGUUCCUG